GACGGGGGGGGGCAAGUGUUCUUCGGAAUGACUGGGCGUAAAGGGCCCGUAGGCGGUGAAUCGGGUUGAAAGUGAAAGUCGCCAAAAACUGGCGGAAUGCUCUCGAAACCAAUUCACUUGAGUGAGACAGAGGAGAGUGGAAUUUCGUGUUUAGGGGUGAAAUCCCGAGAUCUACGAAGGAACGCCAAAAGCGAAGGCAGCUCUCUGGGUCCCUACCGACGCUGGGGUGCGAAAGCAUGGGGAGCGAACAGG
rnacentral:rRNA from 1 species